UGUUAGCUGUGGUUCUUCAAAAACAGGUGUGAUCUAUCAUGAUUUCUUUUAUUCACCAUGAUUUCUUGACUAAUGCUGUGAUUAUCGGGUGGCACGAAGUCAUAUUUCACAUUUCUAUAUAGUUUUUGAGUUAUGCAUACAAGUUGCUCGAUGAAAUGCCGGACUAAUUUUUUAUUCACACUUGGAUUAACUGAUAUUGAAUUUUGGUAGGUUUUGAUGAUUGUUUAUUUACAUCAAGAUUUCUAAUUUUGUUGUUUUUGUAUCAGCUUUGUUCUUUGUAGUUUAGUUGCUAAUUUUUGUGCAUAUAAGAAGACUACAGGAACAUGGAACAUAGAAGUCAUGCCUUUUUGUGACUUUCAGAAAGUCAAAGCUGGUAUUCUCAUACCUCAGUUUGAUGCACAUAGAGUAAUUUUGUAAUCUUCAAAUUAUUUGGAUUCUUAAUUUUAUUAUAGUGGUUCGUAACUUAUUAUCAAAGGAAUAAUAAUUUUUCUUAUAUAAUAUAUGCCAAAUGAUGAACACCAUAAAAAAAGAUUAUUUAUAGAAAGUAUUUGGGUUAGCUUAAUUAAGAGGGGCUUACAAUAUGUUUAGCUUGCCCUUUUUCUCAAGCAUAUUUUUGUCAACACACCAUUUAAUAGGCUAAGCCAAACACUCACUAGACGGGUGACAUGUUCUGUUGAUACAUUUUGUGUGGACGCGACUCGGCUCGGUUCGACUCGACUCGGUACGACUUGGUUUUGACACGGUUAGGUCCGGCUCAAGCCCGAUGUCACGACAUUCCUCCGUCGUGCGCCCCAGAGUUCGACACGCGAAGCACGGCGAGCCGCGAACUUCUCCCGUUGCCACAUCAUCAUGACAUCAUCAUGAUGAUGUCAUGAUGAUGUCACUAUUUUGUCUUAUGCAAAUAAGUGAACUUUGAAUGAUUUUGACGAAACAAAUUUUGUUUCGUCAAAUUUGUAGUAGGCAUAGGCCUGUUUCGUCGCCUGUGGGCUUCUUCAGGCCCAAGGUUUGGCCCAAAAUUUGAUUCGUCGAGUCCUUUGUGUUUCGUC
rnacentral:lncRNA from 1 species